rnacentral:rRNA from 1 species
CCCGACUGCUAUUUGGGUGAGGAUAAGCCAUGCGAGUUGGAUGGGAUACCUAAACUUCCCAUAGCAAACUGCUUAGUAACACAUGAUCAACUUGCCCUAUGGAGAAAAAUAACCUCGGGAAAGUAUCAUAGCGAUUUAAAUAAUUGAUAACUAUGAUACCCCGAAACUGAGGAUAAUGUUUCAUAGUUGAAUAGGCUUGGAAAAGUUUUUCAAUGAAAGGAAUAAGAUAAAUGGAUCUUAUUUGCCAUAGGAUAGGAUCGUGGUCGAUUAUGGUAGUUGGUGAGAUAACGGCUCACCAAGCCGAUAAUCGAUAGGGGCCGUGAGAGCGGGAGCCCCGAGAUGGGUACUGAGACAACGACCCAGGCCUUACGAGGCGCAGCAGGCGCGGAACCUCCGCAAUACACGAAAGUGUGACGGGGUUACCCAAAGUGCUCUUUCUAGAGCUGUGGUAGGUGAGUAAUGUUCCCUACUAGAAAGGAGAGGGCAAGGCUGGUGCCAGCCGCCGCGGUAAAACCAGCUCUUCAAGUGGUCGGGAUAAUUAUUGGGCUUAAAGUGUCCGUAGCCGGUUUAGAAAGUUCCUGGUAAAAUCGGGUAGCUUAACUAUCCGUAUGCUAGGAAUACUGCUAUACUAGAGGGCGGGAGAGGUCUGAGGUACUACAGGGGUAGGGGUGAAAUCUUAUAAUCCUUGUAGGACCACCAGUGGCGAAGGCGUCAGACUGGAACGCGCCUGACGGUGAGGGACGAAAGCCAGGGGAGCGAACCGGAUUAGAUACCCGGGUAGUCCUGGCCGUAAACGAUGCAUACUAGGUGAUGGUACGGCCAUGAGCCGUAUCAGUGCCGUAGGGAAACCGUUAAGUGUGCCGCCUGGGAAGUACGGUCGCAAGGCUAAAACUUAAAGGAAUUGGCGGGGGAGCACCACAAGGGGUGAAGCCUGCGGUUCA